GGGGUCGUAGCUCAGUUGGAAGAGCGCCAGAAUCGCACUCUGGAGGUCGUGAGUUCGAGCCUCAUCGGCUCCA
rnacentral:tRNA from 1 species